GAUGAACGCUGGCGGCGUGCCUACUACAUGCAAGUCGAGCGAAUGGAUUAAGAGCUUGCUCUUAUGAAGUUAGCGGCGGACGGGUGAGUAACACGUGGAUAACCUGCCCAUAAGACUGGGAUAACUCAGGUAAACCGGGGCUAAUACCGGAUAACAUUUUGAACCGCAUGGUGCGAAAUUGUAAGGCGGCUUCGGCUGUCACUUUUGGAUGGAUACGCGUCGCAUUAGCUGGUUGGUGAGGUAACGGCUCAACAGGGCAACGAUGCGUAGCUGACCUGAGAGGGUGAUCGGCAACACUGGGACUGAGACACGGCCCAGACUCCUACGGGAGGCAGCAGUAGGGAAUCUUCCGCAAUGGACGAAAGUCUGACUGAGCAACGCCGCGUGAGUGAUGAAGGCUUUCGGGUCGUAAAACUCUGCUGUUAGGGAAGAACAAGUGCUAGUUGAAUAAGCUGGCACCUUGACGGUACCUAACCAGAAAGCCACGGCUAACUACGUGCCAGCAGCCGCAGUAA
rnacentral:rRNA from 1 species